GAUUUCUGAUAUCAAUUGAUUAACCUAUUAUGGUAACAUAAUAUGUGUUAAUUAGAUGAUAUCAUCCUUGUAGAGAGUAAGUAGAGUAUUUCAUUACAUUUUAUUUAUUAUCUACAUCUUUUACUUUGAAAAAAUUAGAGUGUUUCAAGCAGGCAUAUUGCAAUGAAUACAUUAGCAUGGAAUAAUAAUUUAGGACUUGGGUUCUAUUUUGUUGGUUUCUAGGACUGAAGUAAUGAUUGAUAGGGACAGUUGGGGGUGCUAGUAUUCAGUGGCCAGAGGUGAAAUUCUUGGAUUCACUGAAGACUAACUUAUGCGAAAGCAUU
rnacentral:rRNA from 1 species